rnacentral:sRNA from 1 species
AUCCCGGUGGACGCCGCGAUCCAGGCGGAA